rnacentral:rRNA from 1 species
AACGGGAGGGGCAGGCGUUAUUCAUCUUUACUGGGCGUAAAGGGUGUGUAGGCUGUUUUUUAUUUUUUCGUGAAAAUGCUGUGAAACUUGACUUAAAAUUAAAACUAGAGUAUUUUAGAAGAUAUGGGUACUCAGAGUGUAGAGGUGAAAUUCGGAGAAACUUACGAGGACCACCAAUGGCGAAAGCACAUAUCUAUAUUAUACUGACGCUGAUACACUACAGCAUGGGUAUCAAACAGG